rnacentral:rRNA from 1 species
UUUAUGGAGAGUUUGAUCCUGGCUCAUAGUGAACGCUGGCGGCGUGCCUAAUACAUGCAAGUCGAACGGACGAGUAAGAGCUUGCUCUUAUGAGUUAGUGGCGCACGGGUGAGUAAUGUAUAGUUAAUCUGCCCUACACUGGAGGACAACAGUUAGAAAUGACUGCUAAUACUCCAUACUCCUUCUUAACACAAGUUAAGUCGGGAAAGUUUUUUCCUAAAACUUUUUCAAAAAAACUGACGAUGAUAUGUCUUUCCUUUCAGAAAAACAUUAAAUUGCACAACUAAACUGUUAAGUUAUACCACAACAUAACUCAUGCUCUAAACAUUUGUUCUCUCGCAGUUGUUAGACUA